rnacentral:rRNA from 1 species
GACGAACGCUGGCGGCGUGCUUAACACAUGCAAGUCGAACGUAAAGGCCCUGCUUGCAGGGUGCUCGAGUGGCGAACGGGUGAGUAACACGUGGGUGAUCUGCCCCUUACUUUGGGAUAAGCCUGGGAAACUGGGUCUAAUACUGGAUAGGACCAUGCUGUAGGUGGUGUGGUGGAAAGAUUUUUUCGGUAAGGGAUGAGCUCGCGGCCUAUCAGCUUGUUGGUGGGGUAAUGGCCUACCAAGGCGUCGACGGGUAGCCGGCCUGAGAGGGUGGACGGCCACAUUGGGACUGAGAUACGGCCCAGACUCCUACGGGAGGCAGCAGUGGGGAAUAUUGCACAAUGGGCGCAAGCCUGAUGCAGCGACGACGCGUGGGGGAUGACGGCCUUCGGGUUGUAAACUCCUUUCAGCCAUGACGAAGCCUCUUUUGGGGUGACGGUAGUGGUAGAAGAAGCACCGGCUAACUACGUG